AGUGAACGCUGGCGGUAGGCCUAACACAUGCAAGUCGAACGGCAGCACAGUAAGAGCUUGCUCUUACGGGUGGCGAGUGGCGGACGGGUGAGGAAUACAUCGGAAUCUACUUUUUCGUGGGGGAUAACGUAGGGAAACUUACGCUAAUACCGCAUACGACCUACGGGUGAAAGCAGGGGAUCUUCGGACCUUGCGCGAUUGAAUGAGCCGAUGUCGGAUUAGCUAGUUGGCGGGGUAAAGGCCCACCAAGGCGACGAUCCGUAGCUGGUCUGAGAGGAUGAUCAGCCACACUGGAACUGAGACACGGUCCAGACUCCUACGGGAGGCAGCAGUGGGGAAUAUUGGACAAUGGGCGCAAGCCUGAUCCAGCCAUACCGCGUGGGUGAAGAGGGCCUUCGGGUUGUAAAGCCCUUUUGUUGGGAAAGAAAAGCAGCAGGUUAAUACCCCGCUGUUCCGACGGUACCCAAAGAAUAAGCACCGGCUAACUUCGUG
rnacentral:rRNA from 1 species